rnacentral:rRNA from 1 species
UGCAAGUCGAGCGGACAGAUGGGAGCUUGCUCCCUGAAGUCAGCGGCGGACGGGUGAGUAACACGUGGGCAACCUGCCUGUAAGACUGGGAUAACUCCGGGAAACCGGGGCUAAUACCGGAUAAUUCUUUCCCUCACAUGAGGGAAAGCUGAAAGAUGGUUUCGGCUAUCACUUACAGAUGGGCCCGCGGCGCAUUAGCUAGUUGGUGAGGUAACGGCUCACCAAGGCGACGAUGCGUAGCCGACCUGAGAGGGUGAUCGGCCACACUGGGACUGAGACACGGCCCAGACUCCUACGGGAGGCAGCAGUAGGGAAUCUUCCGCAAUGGACGAAAGUCUGACGGAGCAACGCCGCGUGAGUGAUGAAGGUUUUCGGAUCGUAAAACUCUGUUGUUAGGGAAGAACAAGUACCGGAGUAACUGCCGGUACCUUGACGGUACCUAACCAGAAAGCCACGGCUAACUACGUGCCAGCAGCCGCGGUAAUACGUAGGUGGCAAGCGUUGUCCGGAAUUAUUGGGCGUAAAGCGCGCGCAGGCGGUUCCUUAAGUCUGAUGUGAAAGCCCCCGGCUCAACCGGGGAGGGUCAUUGGAAACUGGGGAACUUGAGUGCAGAAGAGAAGAGUGGAAUUCCACGUGUAGCGGUGAAAUGCGUAGAGAUGUGGAGGAACACCAGUGGCGAAGGCGACUCUUGGUCUGUAACUGACGCUGA